rnacentral:rRNA from 1 species
CCUACGGGAUGCAGCAGUGAGGAAUAUUGGUCAAUGGGCGCGAGCCUGAACCAGCCACGUCGCGUGAAGGAUGACUGCCCUACGGGUUGUAAACUUCUUUUAUAAAGGAAUAAAGUGAGGCUCGUGUGCCUUUUUGUAUGUACUUUAUGAAUAAGGAUCGGCUAACUCCGUGCCAGCAGCCGCGGUAAUACGGAGGAUCCGAGCGUUAUCCGGAUUUAUUGGGUUUAAAGGGAGCGUAGAUGGUAUGUUAAGUCAGUUGUGAAAGUUUGCGGCUCAACCGUAAAAUUGCAAUUGAUACUGGCAGCCUUGAGUACAGGUGAGGUAGGCGGAAUUCGUGGUGUAGCGGUGAAAUGCUUAGAUAUCACGAAGAACUCCGAUUGCGAAGGCAGCCUACUAAACUGCCACUGACAUUGAGGCUCGAAAGUGUGGGUAUCAAACAGGAUUAGAUACCCUAGUAGUC